rfam:Oryza rufipogon genomic scaffold, chr05
CUUCUGCCAACUGAGGGCAUAUGAAGUGAACAUGGCAAUCAAUUCCACCAGCAGUAACAAUCAUGCCUUCAGCAGCAAUAACUUCAGUAUUAACCUGCAAUUGCGUAUGGCAUAAAUCUGUUCUUCUGUAAAUCACGAGAAACAAAUGAAAGAAAUAAAGUAGUUACCCCCACAAUCAUCUCUUCAUUAACACCAUCCAUGUCCAUGACAUCAGGGUUUCCAGCCUUCCCAAUAGCAACGAUAAGUCCACCAUUUAUACCAAUGUCAGCUUUGUAUAUUCCUGUAUAGUCAAUCACAACAGCAUUUGUUACAACUGUGUCCAGGCAAUCUGAGGCUGGAUACCCUGCCGACUGUCCCAUUCCAUCACGUAG